rnacentral:miRNA from 1 species
GUUUCCAUCUCCACCCCCGGCA